rnacentral:rRNA from 1 species
GACGAACGCUGGCGGCGUGCCUAAUACAUGCAAGUCGAGCGAAGUUUUUCUGGUGCUUGCACUAGAAAAACUUAGCGGCGAACGGGUGAGUAACACGUAAAGAACCUGCCUUAUAGACUGGGACAACUAUUGGAAACGAUAGCUAAUACCGGAUAACAGCAUUAACUGCAUGGUUGAUGUUUAAAAGUUGGUUUUGCUAACACUAUGAGAUGGCUUUGCGGUGCAUUAGCUAGUUGGUGGGGUAAAGGCCUACCAAGGCGACGAUGCAUAGCCGACCUGAGAGGGUGAUCGGCCACACUGGGACUGAGACACGGCCCAGACUCCUACGGGAGGCAGCAGUAGGGAAUCUUCCGCAAUGGGCGAAAGCCUGACGGAGCAACGCCGCGUGAGUGAAGAAGGAUUUCGGUUCGUAAAGCUCUGUUGUUAGGGAAGAAUGAUUGUGUAGUAACUAUACACAGUAGAGACGGUACCUAACCAGAAAGCCACGGCUAACUACGUGCCAGCAGCCGCGGUAAUACGUAGGUGGCAAGCGUUGUCCGGAAUUAUUGGGCGUAAAGCGCGCGCAGGUGGUUUAAUAAGUCUGAUGUGAAAGCCCACGGCUCAACCGUGGAGGGUCAUUGGAAACUGUUAAACUUGAGUGCAGGAGAGAAAAGUGGAAUUCCUAGUGUAGCGGUGAAAUGCGUAGAGAUUAGGAGGAACACCAGUGGCGAAUGCGGCUUUUUGGCCUGUAACUGACACUGAGGCGCGAAAGCGUGGGGAGCAAACAGG